UCAAACAUAACUUCAGUGUUUGUGAAUAACAAGUUUUAUUUUGAAAAAAGAGACCGGUGCGAAGGGUAAGCUAGUUAAUAUAUAUACACGUCUUCCUUAGGUCUUUGAAGCAGCUAACAGUUUAACCCAAAAAUAAACCAAAUAUUGAUUCUUCAACAAAUUUUCAUGGAGGAUUCAUCUGAAAACAAAUCACUAAUCUCUUUCUACUCCAAGUACUUACGGAAUAGUUUAUAUAGAUUUUUCCCCUCUUCUCCUGAUUCGAACUUUCUCGCGAGAAUUUCAAAUGUAUAUCAACGGACAACUCGCGCCAGUAUAGGAAAACGCAGGACUUCACUACCUCUUCCAUUGCCUUUCAAUUCAACCACCGAUUAUCGCAGGUAAGACUUUCAAUCUCGCUAAAUUGACUUUCUAAAAGUUAAUUUGAGAUAUUUUUAAAUUUAAAAUUAACAUAAUUCAUUUAAAAUUGAAAAACAAUAAAUCUUAUAUAUCUAGCCGUACUUUUUGAGUAGUUUAUUAUAUUCAUAAUUAUAUGGACAUAAACUAAAUAAAUUCAUGGCAAUUUUGAGUUGGAAAAUGUUUGCAAUUGAUAUUGAUCUUAUAUUUAGAGCAGAUGUAGUAUUUUACAUUGUUCAGAAGAAGAUAACAAAAAUUCCCGAUAAAUUGAUUGUCUUUUGUUGUUAUUUUUGUGCAAUUAUUAUUGUCUAAAGUAUUGUUUGGUAGUCGAUGAAAAAAGAUUACUGCAUCUGCGUUUCUAUUGUUUCACAUUAUGCAAUUGAGCUUAUCAUAGAUACCAAGGCCCCAAAGUGAGAGUCCUAUUGAAACACCAUUUAUUUAUGAAAAGUUGUCUAUGUAGCAUUUAACCUCUAACUCGAUUCAAUUAUCAGGGUUGGUAACUAUGAAAAAUAGGUUUCCUGACUUCUCAGAAAGGUAAAUUUGGAAGUUUUAAGUCUAUUUUAAAGAAAGGAAACUAUUAUUUUGAGGACACACUCAAAAAGGAGAACGGACUCUGUUUUUUUACACAUAGGAAGUACAAG
rnacentral:lncRNA from 1 species